rnacentral:rRNA from 1 species
AACGAACGCUGGCGGCAUGCCUAACACAUGCAAGUCGAACGAGACCUUCGGGUCUAGUGGCGCACGGGUGCGUAACGCGUGGGAACCUGCCCUUAGGUUCGGAAUAACUCCCCGAAAGGGGUGCUAAUACCGGAUAAUGUCUUCGGACCAAAGAUUUAUCGCCUUUGGAUGGGCCCGCGUUGGAUUAGCUAGUUGGUAGGGUAAAAACCUACCAAGGCGACGAUCCAUAGCUGGUCUGAGAGGAUGAUCAGCCACACUGGGACUGAGACACGGCCCAGACUCCUACGGGAGGCAGCAGUGGGGAAUAUUGGACAAUGGGCGAAAGCCUGAUCCAGCAAUGCCGCGUGAGUGAUGAAGGCCUUAGGGUUGUAAAGCUCUUUUACCCGGGAUGAUAAUGACAGUACCGGGAGAAUAAGCGCCGGCUAACUCCGUG